GUCCACGCCGUAAACGAUGUCUACUAGCCGUUGGGACUCUUGAAGUCUUAGUGGCGCAGCUAACGCACUAAGUAGACCGCCUGGGGAGUACGGCCGCAAGGUUAAAACUCAAAUGAAUUGACGGGGGCCCGCACAAGCGGUGGAGCAUGUGGUUUAAUUCGACGCAACGCGAAGAACCUUACCUGGCCUUGACAUGCAGAGAACUUUCCAGAGAUGGAUUGGUGCCUUCGGGAACUCUGACACAGGUGCUGCAUGGCC
rnacentral:rRNA from 1 species